CACACCGCCCGUCACGCCAUGGGAGUUGGUUCUACCCGAAGAUGGUGCGCUAACCGCAAGGAGGCAGCCAGCCACGGUAGGGUCAGCGACUGGGGUG
rnacentral:rRNA from 1 species